rnacentral:lncRNA from 1 species
UUACUAUGGCACAGGUAUGAAAUGCACAUGAGUUAAAAAGAAAAUCACAGUCGCUCUGGAAGGCAGGAUCCAGAUUCAUCCUGCAGGACCUGGUGCAUGAGGCCAAAGUUGGAUGAGAUCAUACUCUUCUGCUUGAGGUAAUGUAAGGCCUCCUUCAGGCAGACUACUUGGUCUUCAUGAGCUAAGCCAUGCAGAUGAUGGAUGAACAGGAGAUCCCAAAACCUUGCCUCCCUUUUCCCUGACACGGUCAGCGAAGUCUAUGCUUCUUAAGAGUGGGAGCUGCUGUCAGCCACAUGGCUGUCCUCCUGUUGGAUCCAUGUGUAGUGGAGGGGGCCAUGCUGGCCUCAGAGCUCUGUUGUGAGACAUUCAGUGGCCUGUGAUGUGCAGGAUGGUGUGGACAUUGCUCUGAUGCCUGCUAAGCAGUUUGAAAAUUUUGCUGAUCCUGGUCCUAGACUGUGUCUAACCCUUACAACCACUAGCCAAGCCUGAGAAGAAGCUGGGGAUGUCUCUGUGGCAGGCUGAAUAUGUGGCCCCCAAACACGUCCAGGAUGGAAGGUUCCUGGUUACUCCGCUCUUGGGCAUGGAUCAUCUCUGGGGUCCUCUGAAGAGAAAGGGUGAGUUCUACUUUCAAGACUGGAUGAAAGUAAUCCUGCCACACGACUGAGGGUUGUUUGAACGUCCAAAUAUCUUUUGAGACCUGAACUCAGGAUCCCUGAGAUCAAGACCUGAGCCAAGAUCAAGAAUCAGAUGCCCAACCAACUGAGCCACCCAGGUGCCCCCAGUUGGAGCCUCCACAUAUCUUGUGAGUGCUGCAGAGAUAAAAAUUCUUGUUGAGCAGUAGAUACUACAGAGCCCAUCAGCUUAUUGAUAAAGCCUAUGGACUAUAGAGUCAUACUUCCUGGGUUUCAAUCUUAUCUCUUCUGUUUGCUAGCAGGGUGACUUAGCAAAUUACUCAACCUCUCUGUGCCUUGAUUUCUUCAACUAAGAAAGGGGGAUGCUGAUUAUUGUACCUAUUUCAGUAUACUGUGUUGUGAGAAAUAAAUGAAAUAAUAUGCAUAAAGCCUUUUAAAAGUGUCUGUUUUCUUUUCCUUUAUACAUUUGUUUUGUUUCUUAAAUUCCACAUGAGUGAAAUCAUAUGAUAUUUGUCUUUCUCUGACUGACUUUUUUUUAGCAUUAUACUCUUUAGAUCACUAUAUUGUAUGCUUG